AUGAUGCUAAUUGCAAUAAAUUCCAUAUUGAACAACUGUAACACCAGGGCAUUUCAAUCUGCGGUCCUCUUUCCCCGGGGCACUAUAGCAGUGUGUGAUGAUUUCCAUUUUGCUCAAGCCUGUUUUCCCUGGAAUGAGUCAAUGUCAAGUCAAAGUGGGGAAAGCAUAGGUUUCACGAGCAUGCUGCUCAAGUAUGAAGAUUGUAAAAGUUCUUUUUUGUAG